rnacentral:rRNA from 1 species
CGAAAAGCUGCGGGGAUCGGCACACACGAUAUGAUCCGCAGGUAUCCGAAUGGGGCAACCCGUUAUAUUGAAGGUAUAACAUCCGCAAGGAGGCAAACCCGGGGAACUGAAACAUCUAAGUACCCGGAGGAGGAGAAAACAAAAGUGAUUCCGAUAGUAGCGGCGAGCGAAAUCGGAUUAGUCCAAACCGUACAUGUUCCGGCAUGUGCGGGGUUGUAGGACCACGAC